UACGUAGGGUCCGAGCGUUGUCCGGAAUUACUGGGCGUAAAGAGCUCGUAGGUGGUUUGUCGCGUUGUUCGUGAAAACUCACAGCUCAACUGUGGGCGUGCGGGCGAUACGGGCAGACUGGAGUACUGCAGGGGAGACUGGAAUUCCUGGUGUAGCGGUGGAAUGCGCAGAUAGUCAGGAGGAACACCGGUGGCGAAGGCGGGUCUCUGGGGCAGUAACUGACGC
rnacentral:rRNA from 1 species